UUUUUUUUAUAUAGAAAUGAGACUUUGGGGGUACGAACACUGCUUUGAACAAUUGCACUAAAAGCAUUACAAAUUGUACUGUACACUUAGCCCAUCUUUUCUUUCCCAUCACACUUGGGCUCAUCUCAUCUCCUUUUGACAACACGUGUUCCCUACAUCUAAAAGUUGCUCCAUAUUGUUUCCAUUUCACCUAUUCUACUUCCUUAAUGUUGUUUUCCUCUACAAUUCAGAGUUGUUUGGAAUUAUUGAUUUGCAGUGUUUGAUUCAUAGUUGCACAUAAUUUUUUUCUUAAUUUCUGAACAACCUUGGCCAUGGAUUGUCAAAGAGAUGAGCUUUCUGGAGUAGUAUGGAAGAAAAGGGAUUUUGCAGCCAAGGUGUUUGACAAAAUGUCACUAUUAGCCAUAGACUUCAGAAAGAGGAGCUUUCCAGAGAAUUUCAGAGAAGAGAGCUUUUGCAGUUAAGGGAAGCUUUAAAAAGCUAAGAAUAUGGAAAAUGAAGAAAACCUUUCACAAAGUCAUAUGGCCAAAUCAGCUAAUACAUAAUUUUAGCAAAGCAACCCACCAAGAAAUUCAGGAUGUCAUAUAUGCAGGUGAUUUCAAUUCGGAUCGAGAAGAAUGGCUAAUCCUAUACCACCGACGAUCCAUUAUAGUGCGCAACCAGUAUUCUAUCAUAUCUGAAUUCAUAUGGGGUAUGGUGAUCCCACACUAUUAGAGUUAGCAGUUAAGAUUGAGUCAGAUGCCAGAAUGGGGCUUCUCAAAAAGGAGAUUGCAUGUCUAUAUUCUUUGUCGAUGCAGUGAGCUCUCUUCUUGGAGCUCUACUCUAUCAAGUUGCUUUCGAGUAUCGGAUGUUUUAGGACCGAUAGAAAUAGAAAUGGUCUCACGUGUAAACUUAUAAAUCGUAUCUUAGAGUUCUUUCCUGUAAAUGUAGCCUCUAACUUUUAAUGCCCUCAAGUUUCGUUAAUUGGGAGAAUUAGGUGCAAAAAAAAUUGCUACCUAAGUGUAUUGUUGAAAUUUAUGCCAUCAGCUUCUUCAUUGCAAUGUUAUCAUACGACUAAGGAAAGAAAGCAAAGUUACUCUGGAAGCACUCUAUCAUUCAACUCCAGUUCCUGUUAUUUC